GGGCCCGCACAAGCAGCGGAGCAUGUGGUUUAAUUCGAAGCAACGCGAAGAACCUUACCAAGGCUUGACAUCCCUGUAAAGCCGCAGAAAAGCGGUGUAGAUAGUUUACUAUCUGAUAGGAGACAGGUGGUGCAUGGUUGUCGUCAGCUCGUGUCGUGAGAUGUUGGGUUAAGUCCCGCAACGAGCGCAACCCUUGUAUUCAGUUACCAGCACGUAAAGGUGGGGACUCUGGAUAGACUGCCGUGGAUAACACGGAGGAAGGUGGGGACGACGUCAAAUCAUCAUGCCCCUUAUGCCUUGGGCUACACACGUGCUACAAUGGCCGUAACAAAGGGAAGCGAACCCGUAAGGGGGAGCAAAACCCAAAAAAGCGGUCCCAGUUCGGAUUGAGGGCUGCAACCCGUCCUCAUGAAGUUGGAGUUGCUAGUAAUCGCGGAUCAGCAUGCCGCGGUGAAUGCGUUCCCGGGCCUU
rnacentral:rRNA from 1 species